CCCCCUACGGGAGGCAGCAGUGAGGAAUAUUGGUCAAUGGGCUUACGCCUGAACCAGCCAAGUCGCGUGAGGGAAGACUGCCCUAUGGGUUGUAAACCUCUUUUGUCAGGGAGCAACGCCGGCUACGUGUAGCCGGACUGAGAGUACCUGAAGAAAAAGCAUCGGCUAACUCCGUGCCAGCAGCCGCGGUAAUACGGAGGAUGCGAGCGUUAUCCGGAUUUAUUGGGUUUAAAGGGUGCGUAGGCGGAAUGCCAAGUCAGCGGUAAAAUCGCGGGGCUCAACCGGUACAGGCUCUGGAAACUGGG
rnacentral:rRNA from 1 species